AUGAGUUUGCCGAGGAACUGUGAGUCAAGGAUUUCAUCAGCACGGUUUAGAGGCCAGAGCCUAGUUCCCAAUCCCGAGUCUAUCGUGCAGGAUGGACCGACAUGCACAUUUUACGCAAUUAUUGCAUGCGCGAUCAUGCAGCUCCGACUAACCAUGUUCAAGUUGGGCCUCAUAUGCAACAUCUUCUUUGAUGCGCGUUCUUUCGUUUCUCAGUAUGUCAGGAGGUAUGGACCACUUGAUUGUGAUCCUGGCCCAAGGGAGAAACGGGCUCUGAUCAUGUUCAGGGAUGAAGGCAUACCAGCAUACGACUUCUCUGGUAGCCCUCCAUUCAUCCCCAGACUGAUGAAGAUCAAGGAGUUUACAUCCUUCCCUCCUUUGCCCGAUCCCUCUAGGCCAGGUUCUCAGCUUGUCUUGACUUUUGAGUUCGUUGCUUACCUGAUUCAGCAAGGAAGACCCGUGCUUGGAAGUUUCCCUGUCCGGUUAGAUAAGGACAGUCAGGGUUUUACAGAGUUUGACAAGUUGGGUGAUAAUAUAUAUGACUACUGGUCACCGACACUGCCUUGCGACCCCAACCUGCAGCCUGCAACCCACCUUGUCACUUUUGUGGAUUAUGGUAAGGCUGAAGAUAGACCGUUCUUAAAGUUUGUGAACACUCACGGCCGGACAUGGGGAGCGGAUGGGUUUGGCAAGAUAUUCUUCAGUUCUAUCUAUCAGAGAGACGACACUUUCUGUUUCCACGUCCUGUCAUUCGAUGAGCCCUUACCUUCCUCUUCGCCCCCGUCACAUACGGCCAUCAGUGAUCGGUUCACACUGCCGCCACCACCUACAGUGCAACCGCCAUUUCGCGGUUGGCAUGGUAUUCAAAUCACUGAACCCAUCUAUGAGGCUGUGCAAGUGAGGAAUGUAAAGGUCGCUAAAAUCUCCCUAAGUGCAGCUGUGCAGGACCGUGAGGAGUUAUUUUCCUUUUCAGGAGACACUGAACAUGUGGAUAUGCAGAGUCAUGAUGAAGUGUCUCAAGGCGCAUAUGUGACCUCCAAAUAUGCACAAGGAGCGCAUACCUUACAUCUUCCUUCGCCUGCUCCCGAACAUCAGCCGCGCCCUACUGCCUCUGUUCCACCGGUGAGAACUGUGAAGGUCGCGCAUGUCUCCCUAAGUGCAACUGUGCAAGAUAUUAAGGAAUUCUUUUCCUUUUCAGGAGAUAUAACAUGUCGAUCUGCAGAGUGGUGA
rnacentral:rRNA from 1 species